rnacentral:lncRNA from 1 species
UGCCGCCGGGAGAGGUAGCUGAGCUCUGGACCGUGUGGCUCCGAGGUCCGGAGCUGCCCCCAGUCGGGUCGCAGGCCCCAGUGGCGGCGGCAUCUGGAGCUCCGAGCCUGCCUCCCCGCGGCGAUGUCACCUGCCUCAAGCCGCCCGGCUUGCGUAUCCCUGGCUGGGAAGGAGCACGGACGCUGCUGCCUGUGUCCGACACAAACAAAAGGAUUUGUCCCAGACACCCAAGAACAAGCCAGGACGAAGCUCUUUCCCGCCAAACGAAGACCGGGAAGUGAACAGCGCCUGCCCAGGCUCCGGAAGCCAGAGCCGGGAGGACAGGGCGGUAAGAGAAUCUGGGGGACCGAAGGAGGGAGAACCCCAGAGCUGGGGAGAGGAGGCUGGGAAAAGGAAGAGGGAGGAGGAAGGGGGCGAGGGGACGUUGUAAGGGUCCCCUCCCCCAUUUCAGAGCUGAAGACGGCCGAGGAGGAGGACGAAGACGAAAAGGCAAAGGAGAAGGAGAAGGAGGUGAGACAAAGGGAUCCCCCCUCCUCUGGGACGAGGAAAGUGCGCUCAUCCAUUCCCUGCAGGCUUUGGAAAAACUGGCAGAGAUCUCGCCGUGAGAAGUCACCCACGACAGUCUGCCGCAAACGGACUCAGGGCCGGGCAGGAGGGCGGGCUCGAGGGCGGGGGCCAGCUUUGAUCCCUGGGCUCUGCGGUAAUUUUGUCUUUGCCACACAGAUUAGCUGGAGGAGCCAGCCCCGGCGGCGAGGAGUUCCGUUCCGUGGAGUCCCCUAUUUCAGAGCUGAAGAGAGGAGGACGAAGACGAAAAGGCAAAGGAGAAGGAGAAGGAGGUG